rnacentral:tRNA from 1 species
UCCCUUGUGGCUCAGCUGGUAAAGAAUCCGUCUGCAAUGCAGGAGACCUGGGUUCAAUCCCUGGCUUGGGAA